UUAGAGGGUGGGUACAACUUGUCUUUUAAAGUUUAGGCAAUCUGAUAGACAAGGCUGAACUUAUUCCAGAAUAUACAAAAAUUUCCAAAAGAGAAGAGAGAACGCUCAAAUCUUUGAAAAGUUAACUAACGAGAAAAAAUUGGGAAAGCAGCGUGGUGCUGGAUUAAAAA